rnacentral:rRNA from 1 species
UUAUACAUGCAAGUCGAGCGCCAGCACGGGNUUCGGCCUGGUGGCGAGUGCGAACGGGUNAGUAAUACAUCGGAACGUGCCCUGUUGUGGGGAUAACCAGUCGAAAGAUUGGCUUAAUACCGCAUACGACCUGAGGGUGAAAGCGGGGGACCGCAAGGCCUCGCGCAGCAGGANCGGCCGAUGUCUGAUUAGCUAGUUGGUGGGGUAAAGGCCCACCAAGGCGACGAUCAGUAGCUGGUCUGAGAGGACGAUCAGCCACACUGGGACUGAGACACGGCCCAGACUCCUACGGGAGGCAGCAGUGGGGAAUUUUGGACAAUGGGGGCAACCCUGAUCCAGCAAUGCCGCGUGUGUGAAGAAGGCANUCGGGUUGUAAAGCACUUUUGUCCGGAAAGAAAACCUCCGCCCGA